rnacentral:rRNA from 1 species
CUAGAGGAGCCUGUUCUAUAAUCGAUAAACCCCGAUAAACCCCACCAUCCCUUGCUAAUUCAGCCUAUAUACCGCCAUCUUCAGCAAACCCUAAACAAGGUACCAAAGUAAGCACAAUCAUCCAACAUAAAAACGUUAGGUCAAGGUGUAGCCCAUGGGAUGGAGAGAAAUGGGCUACAUUUUCUACUCUAAGAACAAGAACUCAACCCAAACGGAAGUCUCCAUGAAAUUAGAGACCGAAGGAGGAUUUAGUAGUAAAUUAAGAAUAGAGAGCUUAAUUGAAUCAGGCCAUGAAGCGCGCACACACCGCCCGUCACCCUCCUUAAAUAUUACAAAUCACAAUAUUACACAAAACCAUGAUCCAAACAUAUGAAAGGAGACAAGUCGUAACAAGGUAAGCGAUACUGGA